CGCCUCUUUAUCAAAAACAUCGCCUCCUGCAACUUUUUACGUAUAGGAGGUCCAGCCUGCCCAGUGACUACGGGUUCAACGGCCGCGGUAUUUUGACCGUGCAAAGGUAGCGCAAUCACUUGUCUUUUAAAUAAAGACCUGUAUGAAUGGCCAAACGAGGGCUUAACUGUCUCCCUCUUCAAGUCAGUGAAAUUGAUCUACCCGUGCAGAAGCGGGUGUAAUAGUACAAGACGAGAAGACCCUUUGGAGCUUUAGGUACAAAACUCAACCACGUCAAACAACUCCGUAAAAAGACAAGAACUUACUGGAAAAUGAGAUUUUACCUUCGGUUGGGGCGACCAUGGAGGAAAAAUAAGCCUCCAAGCGGAAAGGGCUAACACCCCUAAAACUAAGAGAGACAUCUCUAAGCCGCAGAACAUCUGACCAAUAAUGAUCCGGCGUAAAGCCGAUCAACGAACCAAGUUACCCUAGGGAUAACAGCGCAAUCCUCUCCCAGAGUCCAUAUCGACGAGGGGGUUUACGACCUCGAUGUUGGAUCAGGACAUCCUAAUGGUGCAGCCGCUAUUAAGGGUUCGUUUGUUCAACGAUUAAAGUCCUACGUGAUCUGAGUUCAGACCGG
rnacentral:rRNA from 1 species